AUUGAACGCUGGCGGCAUGCUUUACACAUGCAAGUCGAACGGUAACAGGUUAAGCUGACGAGUGGCGAACGGGUGAGUAAUGCAUCGGAACGUGCCCGGUCGUGGGGGAUAACGCAGCGAAAGCUGCGCUAAUACCGCAUACGAUCUGAGGAGGAAAGCGGGGGACCGUAAGGCCUCGCGCGAUCGGAGCGGCCGAUGUCAGAUUAGGUAGUUGGUGGGGUAAAGGCUCACCAAGCCGACGAUCUGUAGCUGGUCUGAGAGGACGACCAGCCACACUGGGACUGAGACACGGCCCAGACUCCUACGGGAGGCAGCAGUGGGGAAUUUUGGACAAUGGGCGAAAGCCUGAUCCAGCAAUGCCGCGUGCAGGAAGAAGGCCUUCGGGUUGUAAACUGCUUUUGUACGGAGCGAAAAGGUCUCCUCUAAUACAGGGGGCUCAUGACGGUACCGUAAGAAUAAGCACCGGCCAACUACGUGCCAGCCGCCGCCGUAA
rnacentral:rRNA from 1 species